rnacentral:rRNA from 1 species
UACGUAGGGUGCAAGCGUUGUCCGGAAUUAUUGGGCGUAAAGAGCUCGUAGGCGGUUUGUUGCGUCGGCUGUGAAAUCCCGAGGCUCAACCUCGGGUCUGCAGUCGAUACGAGCAAACUAGAGUGUUGCAGGGGAGACUGGAAUUCCUGGUGUAGCGGUGAAAUGCGUAGAUAUUGGGAGGAACACCGGUGGCGAAGGCGGCCCUCUGGACCGGUACUGACGCUGAUGCGCGAAAGCGUGGGGAGCAAACGGG